rnacentral:rRNA from 1 species
UACAGAGGUCUCAAGCGUUGUUCGGAUUCAUUGGGCGUAAAGGGUGCGUAGGUGGCGCUGUAAGUCGGGUGUGAAAUUUCGGAGCUUAACUCCGAAACUGCAUUCGAUACUGCCGUGCUUGAGGACUGGAGAGGAGACUGGAAUUUACGGUGUAGCGGUGAAAAUGCGUAGAUAUCGUAAGGAAGACCAGUGGCGAAGGCGGGUCUCUUGGACAGUUCCUGACGCUGAGGCACGAAGGCCCAGGGGGAGCAAAACGGGG